rnacentral:rRNA from 1 species
AGAGUUUGAUCAUGGCUCAGAUUGAACGCUGGCGGCAUGCCUUACACAUGCAAGUCGAACGUAACGCGGGGCAACCUGGCGACGAGUGGCGAACGGGUGAGUAAUGUAUCGGAACGUGCCCAGUUGUGGGGGAUAACUGCUCGAAAGAGCAGCUAAUACCGCAUACGACCUGAGGGUGAAAGCGGGGGAUCGCAAGACCUCGCGCAGUUGGAGCGGCCGAUAUCAGAUUAGGUAGUUGGUGGGGUAAAGGCUCACCAAGCCAACGAUCUGUAGCUGGUCUGAGAGGACGACCAGCCACACUGGGACUGAGACACGGCCCAGACUCCUACGGGAGGCAGCAGUGGGGAAUUUUGGACAAUGGGGGCAACCCUGAUCCAGCCAUGCCGCGUGCGGGAAGAAGGCCUUCGGGUUGUAAACCGCUUUUGUCAGGGAAGAAAAGACUCCUGUUAAUACCGGGGGUUCAUGACGGUACCUGAAGAAUAAGCACCGGCUAACUACGUGCCAGCAGCCGCGGUAAUAC